CCUACGGGUGGCAGCAGUGAGGAAUAUUGGUCAAUGGGCGCGAGCCUGAACCAGCCAAGUCGCGUGAAGGAUGACUGUCCUACGGGUUGUAAACUUCUUUUGUCAAGGAAUAAAGUGCGGCACGUGUGCCUUUUUGUGAGUACCUUAAGAAUAAGCAUCGGCUAACUCCGUGCCAGCAGCCGCGGUAAUACGGAGGAUCCGAGCGUUAUCCGGAUUUAUUGGGUUUAAAGGGAGCGCAGGUGGGUUGUUAAGUCAGUUGUGAAAGUUUGGGGCGCAACCGUAAUAUUGCAUUUGAUACUGGCGUCCUUGAGUACAGUUGAGGUAGGCGGAAUGCGUGGUGUAGCGGUGAAAUGCUUAGAUAUCACGAAGAACUCCGAUUGCGAAGGCAGCCUACU
rnacentral:rRNA from 1 species